AUGUCCAAGUAUCCUUUUGGAUAUAUCACAGCAGUGCCUGGAUACAGGAUCUGGACAGAGAACAAAGCAAAGAGGACCGAUGUCUCCAUCCUCGGUAGCAUCUCUCCAAUCUGCUCCUACACCUCUGGCUCUCCUAAGCUCCCCUCAAAGGACUAUUUGGGUUUGGAAAUAGUGCUCUGCAUCACUGGAGGAAGCAAGUAUGAAACCUCAGUCCACCCCAUCACUCGAUCAGAAGAAUUCCCAUUGGACAGCUGGCUUGCAUGCAGUGCCGAGAAGCCGUUCCGGAGGAGAUAUGUGAUCCCCUCCUACUACAGCUCCAUCCUAGCUCUUGUUAAGAACUUCCUUCCCAGUCACCCAACAGUGUGUUGCUUCCAAGAGCAACGGCUGGGCCAGACCCCCUGGAACGAAAAGGAAGAAAGAGCCCCUCACUCAUGUUUCUUGCUGUGCCCACCUGCAGUUCAUUGCUUUAGGACUUGACAGAUGAAAUCAGCACCUUCCCAAACUUCUCCGCUGGGAGACUGUCUGGAAUAUCUCCUCUUGACCCUCUAGGGGAUGCUGCCCACUCCACAGCGCCCCCUGCAGCUCUGCCUGAUUAUAAAGCUUCUCCCUAAUGGGCAAGAUCUCACACAUGAUAGAGCCAUAAAACGUGGCACUCCUGGCUGGCCCUGCUGCUUGUCUGAUAAGGGAGAUCGAGGGACUCACCAGCACAGGCAGAGGGCCCCAGGUCUUACCCUGCCCCCAUGCCUCCUCCCCACCCCAGCUGGUCUCGGCUUCCAGCAUGUUGCCAAGGCCUGUUCUGCAGAACACAAAGCCCAUGCUUUGCAAUGGCGAGGAUUCCAUGUUCAAGAAAGGGUGGGAAAUGCCCCCAGUCUCUCCCGUCCUAGGCAUUCAAAACACCCAUGAGCACAGUCACGGCUGUGAGGAGGCUUCCAGUAAAGAAAAUCUGCUCGCAUUUCCCAGGGACACAUCACUGAGGCUUGUCACGGUGGUGAGAGAGAACUGUGGUCUCCUAGGAGGCAUGGAGCAGCCUUCCCACACUCUCUGCAUGCACACAUCCUCCGGGGAUCUGGUCCAGGGGCCGGUUCUGACUCCCCAGGCCUGGGCUGGGACUCCGGACGCUGUGUCUCUCAGAAGCCCCUGGGGGACAGUGACGCUGUGGGUCCACAGGCCACAGGGAUCCAGAGUGGCUGCUGAUGAGUUUCCAGAAGACCCAGAACUACUAUUUAGAGGGGGCAGGGGAAGGCAUUUCACCUCGCUACAACUUAGGCUGGGCCAGAGGAGAACACAGCUUUCCUUUCUGGGAAUGCUGUUGAACAAUGAAGAGUAUAAAGAGGUUAAACCAUGCCUACGGUCACCCCUGUCUGGUGAAGCUGAGAUUUGAAGUGGCGUUUGGACCCCAGAGCUGA